CUACGUGCUGCCAAGCGCUGCCAAGCAAGCUGUUUCCCAACAAUUCCCCCCUUUUUCUUUUAGGGUUGUAAGGCAAAACAAUCCUUAGGAUUGUGCCCCCCUUGAUUUUGUAGCCAAUCACGAAUGAUGUCCGAAUCCUUGUUGUCAGUCACAACAAGCGCAGCUUUUGGCGCGGUAGCACGCAGCAGACAACUAUACAAUAUUCUAAAACCUUUCCUUAAUGAUAUCAUAUAUCCAAGGAGCAAGACCUGGAAACACAGAAUGCAACCAAUCAUCAAUAGGAUUAUGAUCCUCAGUAAUGGAUCGAGUGUGAUUAAGCAACCAAUGAAUUUGUUUUUGAAUUGAUUUGCUAUGAUCAGAAAGAUUAAAACAACACAUUCCAUCAAACUCUUUACAGCCAUGCCCUUGAGCAAGUAAAAGAAAGUCUAUUGCGGCUCGAUUCUGGAGCACAGCAUGACGAAGGCUGUUCAUAUCUUCUAACAUUUCUUCGAGGAUCUCUGAAGUAUGAUUGCUCUGUUUAACAGUCCAGCACGCUAGACGUUCAAUCUGUUUCAAGGCUUGGGCGGCAGCAACUCCCGGGGUUAGGAAUGAGGCAAAAAUCCUGGCAGUCACGCUCCACAGCUGUACUUUAUCGGAACAGGUGCUGUCAAGGAUUUGGAGAGACCGAUGCUCUUCAUGGGAAACAUUUUUAAGUUUCUUAUCUAUCUUUAACCAUUGGAUAAAAUAAUAGUACUAAUCAUAUUAAUAAUAUAACCAUCAUAAUUCAAUCAGAGCCUCGAUUGACAACACACUAAACAUAAGAAAAGAUACAAGGCAAACAGCAUAAUGACAAGAAAUACUGUCAAAGCCAUUAAAAAGAAUGAGUUCCAAUCAACAUACACAGCAGGAAUCAGAGACUCCCUAAGCUAAUCUAUUAUUACUUACUGAUCCUUGAAAGGUGGCAAACCACCAGAAAGGAGAGAGAAGAAACACGGCAGCAGUGGGUGCGAUAGGUAGUGCCAGCAGGGCGUCCCCUGCUUCAAGGUGCACUUCUCCUCUCUCACCCACCACAGACUCUCUCCCGCUUUUAUUCUUCUCAGGGUCUGCAGGGUUUUUUCCAUUUGUACACUGCAUCCGCAUGGCCAGUGCGAUAUACAGAGCCCAAGUGGAACACCUGUUCAUAAAGCAAAACAAGCUGCUAACGUCAGCUGUCUCUACGAGACAAAAUAUUUGCAACUAUAGACUCGAUUGUCAGUUCCCUUAAAACUAUCAGAGUAUCCCAAGAUCAUUCUAUAGUGAGGGGCGUUUGGGCCCCGGAUAUAGGUGCCAAUUGAAAGAACCAGUGAACUAAAAAUCUGUUGGGCAA
rnacentral:lncRNA from 1 species